rnacentral:rRNA from 1 species
AGCUCCAAUAGCGUAUAUUAAAGUUGUUGCAGUUAAAAAGCUCGUAGUUGAAUUUCUGGCUGGAAGGGAGCGGUCCCGCAUCUUUGCGGGUACUUGCUCGUCUUCUGCCAUCCUUGGGCUUAGUCUCGCUGAUAUUAACUUAUCGGCGUGUACGAUGCCCAUCGUUUACUGUGAGCAAAUUAGAGUGUUCAAAGCAGGCUUAUGCCGUUGAAUAUAUUAGCAUGGAAUAAUAAGAUAGGACCUAGUGACUAUUUUGUUGGUUUGCGUUAUUAGGUAAUGAUUAAGAGGGACAGUUGUGGGUAUUCGUAUUCAGGUGUAAGAGGUGAAAUUCUUAGAUUAUCGGAAGACGAACGACUGCGAAAGCAUUUACCAAGGAUGUUUUCA